ACAAGCAGUGGGAGCACCUUCGUGGUGUGACUGCGUACCUUUUGUAUAAUGGGUCAGCGACUUAUAUUCUGUAGCAAGGUUAACCGUAUAGGGGAGCCGAAGGGAAACCGAGUCUUAACUGGGCGUUAAGUUGCAGGGUAUAGACCCGAAACCCGGUGAUCUAGCCAUGGGCAGGUUGAAGGUUGGGUAACACUAACUGGAGGACCGAACCGACUAAUGUUGAAAAAUUAGCGGAUGACUUGUGGCUGGGGGUGAAAGGCCAAUCAAACCGGGAGAUAGCUGGUUCUCCCCGAAAGCUAUUUAGGUAGCGCCUCGUGAACUCAUCUUCGGGGGUAGAGCACUGUUUCGGCUAGGGGGCCAUCCCGGCUUACCAACCCGAUGCAAACUACGAAUACCGAAGAAUGUUAUCACGGGAGACACACGGCGGGUGCUAACGUCCGUCGUGAAGAGGGAAACAACCCAGACCGCCAGCUAAGGUCCCAAAGUCAUGGUUAAGUGGGAAACGAUGUGGGAAGGCACAGACAGCCAGGAUGUUGGCUUAGAAGCAGCCAUCAUUUAAAGAAAGCGUAAUAGCUCACUGGUCGAGUCGGCCUGCGCGGAAGAUGUAACGGGGCUAAACCAUGCACCGAAGCUGCGGCAGCGACACUAUGUGUUGUUGGGUAGGGGAGCG
rnacentral:rRNA from 1 species